ensembl:lncRNA
GCAAAAUGUAAGCAUUAUUUCAUGAACACUUGGCAUCGAUAGUGCAGAAUAUUGCACAAUGAAGUACAUUUUGACAAGUACGAAAUUGUAGCAGCUUUUUGACUCUCACGAUUCAGGUAAAUGUCCAGAAGAGAACUGGAGGAGAUAUGGUAUGUCUGCAGAACAGAUGCCUUUACAGCAAAAUGCAUAUGUGCCAAGCGAAUGACUGUGUCAGAAAGUGGAGGACUUUCCUUCUUCGGAGAUUCUCCAUCCAUAGAUUCAAUGAUCCUUUGAUGGCAGCCAUAAGACUGAUGUGGCCCUCGAUGAAAAUGAGGUUGACACCACUGAUUUAGACAUCCACACUGUAGCCUAAAACCGUAGAGAUGAUUCAUGCUGAUGCUAUGAAAAGACGGUCAGGUUAGGUUUUUGACUUCAUGUCUUUCCCAUAUCUGAUGUUGAUGAAGAGGCAUCUGAUGUUGAUGAAGAGGGUGUGUGGUUUCUGGGUUGUAUGUCUGUGUUCUAGCAGCAUUUUCUCCUGAUGUUUUGCCUGUGUCUGUGGCUGGCAUCUUCAGAGGACACACAUGCAGGUGAAACUUCAGGAGAAAAUGCUGCUUGAACACGGCCAUACAGCCCAUAAACCACACAACAUCCCAGUGAUUCCAGCCAUGAAAGCCUUCAACAAUCAUGGUUUCCCUUUUAUGGCAUAUAAAAAUUGCAUGAGUUAGGAAGGAUGUUGUGGAAGAACCUCCUCAAUCCUCCUCACAACUCUUACUUUUCUCCUAUGGUUCCUGUGUCUUUUUCUCACCAGAGCUUUAUUCAUGAGUUGAACAAUACAAAAUAUUUGUUAUAUGCUACUUCUCUUUAAUCUAAGCAACUUUUGGCCUUUCAAGUGGGGCUGGACUGCAACUCACAUUAUUUCGAAUAGCUGGCAAUGCUGCCUGGAGCUCGUGAGAGUUGUGCUUCAACAUCUGGAAAACAUAGUUUGCUGCCUCCACUACUGCUGAGCUCAGGGGCAUUGUGUUCUUUGCAUUAAACUGUUCUUAUUUAAUCUACUCUUCUGUUAAAUAGCUUAAUAAAUGGAGCGAGAUCUUUGUUUUUGGCUGGAAUCUUCAUCAUGUGUUUGCUCUCAAAGGGAUGGAUGGGGAGAGGUUUCCUUGGUUCACAGGCAAAGAUGUUGAGUGGGAUGGAGAGCUUAAAAGAACCAAAUUCCAGGCAAAAAAAAAGUUAUGGUCCUCAUCAGGAAGACCGUUCAUUAAAGAAACAUAUUCUUGGAUAGAAAUAGCCUGAUUUAUUUUUGUUAACUUAAGACUCCAUCUACACUGGCCAUUUAAUGCAGUGUCAAACCAGUAUUGAAGAAAGUGGUUUCUCUGUACAGAUUAUUACAUAGGAAAUCCUGGAAGCAAUUUGGAGUCCAAAUGGUGAUUACACAAACUAUUGUUUGUGUAGUCAGAAUUUGGAUUUAAUGCACAUCAAAACAUUGGAGUGCAUUAAGGACUUUCUUUAGUGCUCUUUUGUGGGAGUUUGUUGUCUGGCCACCAUAAUAUGGAACCAGUUUUGAACUGCAUUGUAGUCAGUAUAAGAUGGAGUAUUUGCCAUAUAUUCCUUUGUAAAUUAACAUACUGUCCACUUUCAUAAAUUACAUGAUC